rnacentral:rRNA from 1 species
GACGAACGCUGGCGGCGUGCUUAACACAUGCAAGUCGAACGGAAAGGCCCUGCUUUUGUGGGGUGCUCGAGUGGCGAACGGGUGAGUAACACGUGAGUAACCUGCCCUUGACUUUGGGAUAACUUCAGGAAACUGGGGCUAAUACCGGAUAGGAGCUCCUGCUGCAUGGUGGGGGUUGGAAAGUUUCGGCGGUUGGGGAUGGACUCGCGGCUUAUCAGCUUGUUGGUGGGGUAGUGGCUUACCAAGGCUUUGACGGGUAGCCUGCAUGAGAGGGUGACCGGCCACAUUGGGACUGAGAUACGGCCCAGACUCCUACGGGCGGCAGCAGUGGGGAAUAUUGCACAAUGGGCGGAAGCCUGAUGCAGCAACGCCGCGUGCGGGAUGACGGCCUUCGGGUUGUAAACCGCUUUCGCCUGUGACGAAGCGUGAGUGACGGUAAUGGGUAAAGAAGCACCGGCUAACUACGUG